UGGGAUUGUAGUUCAAAUUGGUUAGAGUACCGCCCUGUCAAGGCGGAAGCUGCGGGUUCG
rnacentral:tRNA from 1 species